CACUAUAAGUUAUACAUUUGAGCUAACAAAAUCUCAUCAAAAAGAAGAAUGACAGUUUCAGAGGCUUGACGAUGAGGAGUCUGAUGGAGGAGCAGGUAUGGAUAGGGACAGCAAUGUCUCUUGGUCCCUGGACAGUUCAUCCAGCUCUGAGAGUGAUUCAGAUAAUGAAUUCAUUCCCCGUCGAAAAAAGAGCCGGCUGGACAUCUCCGAUCCUGGAACUGACCUUGUUCCAUUGGAUAAUAUUCCAGUGCAAAAUCCUGAUCCAUCAGAUGUGUCUGCUGUGCCAAGACAACUCAGUCCGCCACGAGAUGAGGAAGCUGGCCCAAUAAACCCACUUUCAGCCGAGAGGCGUGAAACGGCAAAAGAUGGCACAGUGUGGGCCUAUACAGAGUCAGGUGAAGACAGAGGAAGGCGACAAUGCCGAAAUGUAAUAACAGAGGCGGCAGGCCACACAGCACAUGCCAAGCGCAAUAUUGAAGAUGCCCUUACAGCCUUUUUGUGUUUGGUGGAUGAUGGCAUGCUGAAACACAUCAGGGACUGCACUGUGGCUGAGGCCCACCAAGUCAAGGAGGACAAAAUAUGGAGGACAGUUGAAGAGCUAAAAGCCUUCAUUGGUCUAAUUUACAUUUGUGGCGCGUAAGGUGGAAAAGGGAUGGAUUUGGCGAGCUUUUGGUCAGCCGAGUGGGGCUGCGCUUUUUUCAAGGAGACCAUGUCCCAAAACAGGUUUCAGGAAAUCAUGCGAGUCCUGCAUUUUGACAGAAGGGAAACCCGACGCACACGCCUGCAAGACAACAAGUUUGCCCUUAUGAGUGAUGUUUGGGACAGAUUUGUCCAAAACUGCAUCGUCUGCUUCAAGCCCGGUGCCGACAUCACUGAGCAGCUAUUCCCUACAAAGUCAAGGUGCAGCUUCAUCCAGUAUAUUGCAAACAAACCAGACAAAUUCAGAAUCAAAUUCUGGCUUGCUGCGGAUGUCGACACCAAAUAUAUGGUAGGAGUAAAUGUUCUAGAUCAAAUGGCUAGAAAAUACUGGCCGCCAGUAGCUGUUUUCUAUAACAUCCUCGACCUGGCUGCAAUCAACACGCACAUAUUGUACAAGAAGUGUACGAAUGAGCAAGUUUUGCAGAGGGACUUCAUCACGCAACAAGAGAUCAAAAGCCACACAACUGGUGGUGCGAGAGCCAGGACCCGGGCAGGAGCAUCAGCAGAUGGAGAGAAGAAGGCAGUGCCAAGUAAGGAGGAACAUAAAACCAAGGAGACAUGCGCCAAAUGUCACAAAGUAGUGUGUGGGAGCUGCACACGAAAGGCGGUGUUUACCUGUGUGGACUGUGCGUAAGCGUCAGUGAAUGAUGCGGGGUUUUUGCGCCGUUCAAAUGAGCCCACUUGGAGGAAAACUUGUUAAUCUGAAUUUGUUCGGUAAAAUUUUUUGUUCACUGAAACUAAUCGUUCUAAAGCAGUUUGUUUUCUUGUUUAGCUAAUGUUCAUGUUUUUUCUUUGCCUGUUUUUGUGUGUACU